rnacentral:rRNA from 1 species
UACGUAGGGUGCAAGCGUUGUCCGGAAUUAUUGGGCGUAAAGAGCUCGUAGGCGGUUUGUCGCGUCUGCUGUGAAAACGCGAGGCUCAACCCCGGGCCUGCAGUGGAUACGGGCUGGCUAGAGGCAGGCAGGGGAGAACGGAAUUCCUGGUGUAGCGGUGAAAUGCGCAGAUAUCAGGAGGAACACCGGUGGCGAAGGCGGUUCUCUGGGCCUGUACUGACGCUGAGGAGCGAAAGCGUGGGGAGCGAACAGG